AUUGAACGCUGGCGGCAGGCCUAACACAUGCAAGUCGAGCGGGGUUUUCGGACCUAGCGGCGGACGGGUGAGUAAUGCGUAGGAAGCUACCCGAUAGAGGGGGAUACCAGUUGGAAACGACUGUUAAUACCGCAUAAUGUCUACGGACCAAAGUGUGGGACCUUCGGGCCACAUGCUAUCGGAUGCGCCUACGUGGGAUUAGCUAGUUGGUGGGGUAAUGGCUCACCAAGGCGACGAUCCCUAGCUGGUUUGAGAGGAUGAUCAGCCACACUGGAACUGAGACACGGUCCAGACUCCUACGGGAGGCAGCAGUGGGGAAUAUUGGACAAUGGGCGCAAGCCUGAUCCAGCCAUGCCGCGUGUGUGAAGAAGGCCUUCGGGUUGUAAAGCACUUUCAGUGGGGAGGAAGGGUGUUGUGUUAAUAGCACAGCAUUUUGAUGUUACCUACAGAAGAAGCACCGGCUAACUCUGUGCCAGCCGCCGCCGUAAGAC
rnacentral:rRNA from 1 species